AUUUUCACAAGUUUACUUUAUAAGACUCACUUUGUCAGCUUAUGAAUGAAUCCAACAUAUGAACAAUUCUCCAGAAUUCAUUAGGAACUCAUUACUUUACAGGCCCAGUUGUAUCUGAGACCUGCCUGACAGCUGUGACCUUUGGAAACUAGGUGAAGCUGCUCCUGUUGCUGUAACCUCACCGGAAGAGAUUUGGUGUCUCUACUGUUACUCACCUGUUUCCAGCUCAAGAUGUGGGACUCAUGCCUUUGAUCUGCAGCAUGUCCAGCUACAAUGGCUGGAAAAGCAAGGUAAUGUGAUGAGGGAAAGAUCAGCAGAUUAAGAAGUCCUGUGCCACCAACUAAUCACUCUGCCUUUGUGCAGCCUGCUUACUUUCUAUGAGGCUAUUUCAUCAUUCUUAAAGUGAAAAGGUUGGUCCCUGAGUUUGUUUGUUUGUUUGUUUCUUUUUUUCCUUCCUUCCUUCCUUCCUUCCUUCUUUUCUUUGUUUCCUUCCUUCCUUAGAGAUCAAACCUAGGGAAGCACUUCACCACUAAGCUACAUCUCUAGCCCCCUUCCAGCUUUCAGCAUCUAAAAACAUCAUAGCAAAAUCACUAAUAAAAAGUUAUAUAGCUGGGCAGUGGUGCAAGCAGCAGGUGCGCCAGGGAGGAAACAAGUCCGUGUCUCCAGUGAGCCUGAGAAUCAAAUGUCCCAUUCCAUACACACCCCUAGCGAUGGGAUGGUGUCAAGGACAGCCGGAGUUGAUAGCAACUAAGGCACAUGAAGCAACUAAGUGCUUGUAUUGUUGAAUUGAUUAUGCAGGCCUGUGGCCAGAGCUCUGAGCAUCUCUUGGGAGGAUGACUGUAUGCAAUAGAGCAAAUAUGGGGGAUUUCCUUCUAGCUUCUCUUUGAAGGCAAAUAUUGUUUUCACUGCUUUUCUUUGUUCCGUUUAAUUGUUUUGCUCUAUUCAGUGUGCUGUUUUGAUAGGUUUUAUAAUGUUCCUUUUUUUUGUCUUUUUUUUUCAUUUUUAUCAGUACCGGGGAUCAAACUCAUGACUGCCUGUUUGCAAGGCAGGUACUUAUGCCGCUGAGCUAAACCCCCAGCCCCUAAUGUUCCAUUUUUGGUUUGAUUUUGCUGUACCCGAUUGAAUGGACAACUACUGUGAAGAUAACAAGAUAUAUUAUGGUACCUAUUACUGUUAUCCUGGUAUCCUGCUCUGAAGUUCUGUACCAAUUUCAUUGCA